AUGCUUACUGCAUGUUCCGGGAAUGUAUCUGGUGAUGGAUUGCAUAACCAGCCAGAUACGACUGUUACUCAAAAUGAGGCUGUUGUUGAUGCUUCUGUGAAGAGGUGCGGUUCUUCUCUUGUCCGUAACUUGGAUAAGAAAUAUUCCAGGCGUCGCAAGGAAUUACGUCUACCUUCUCCACCCAUGGCCACUAGUACAACUGUCUUUGACCAGCCGUCGUUGGAUGAUACACAUCAUUGUACCAAGGCAAUGGUCAUCAAUGAGCUUGGCAUUGUAGGCCCUGAUAAGGGCAUUAACUCAGUAAUUGCCGAUCCCACGCGGAAGAAGCAGCAUCCUCGGAACGGUUCGGAUGCUCCAUCUAUUAGUGUUGCCGGCCUUCCGCAAAUGCGGUCUACCAGCGUGGGCGUCACAUCUGAGGUGGUACCUAGUAAUCUUACAUGUUCUUCGGCAGAUGUGGACUCGUCUGACACGUCAUGCAGCAAGAAGAUCAUGUUGCUGUGA
rnacentral:rRNA from 1 species